ACCGCCGAGCCGCCCGCCGGUAAUAAGCCACAUAGGCCCUGCCCUCCGGGAACCUGGAGUCUGAGUGGAGCCUAGACGUGCACACCAAAAGCGAAAGCACAAGGUGCGGCGGCUGUCCGGACUAAUACAUCUGUCACAACGAACAGAGAGUUGGGCCAAAAACGUCUCCAGGGGAUUCUGGCCACCUCACAGUUCAGCCACACUGGGUACCCUGACGAGCAACAGACUUCCCCAGGACAACCCUUACGAGGAAGUUGUCAGGCCCGAGUUGCCACAGGGCUUGGGAUAGAAGUCUGGGCGCAUUUGGAGAAGCUGGCUUGCCCUCAGCCAAUCGGGGUCUGUGGGGCUCCAGCAUGGUCGUGGGGCCAAUGGGCUGUUUAAUGUGCUCGAGGGCAGCUACGUGUAUGUUCUCCUCCAUCCUCCAGUGUGGUGCCCAUAAUUAUGACCUCAAACUAAAAGUUAUCACCUGCUCUGAUGUCAGGGGCACCAAGCGCAUAGGAGGAAUUACCAAAAUCCUUCCACAAAGUCCAAUGAACAAUAAGCAGGGCCCUUUUCACACUGUAGCAGAUGAUGCUCAAAGAAUACCUCCACUGUCUUUCCUUUAAAUAAAAAACACCUUCCCAAACA